ensembl:lncRNA
CAAAGCUGUACCCUGCCUAUUGUGCCCACAAACAUUUCCUGCUCUGGCAGGGGCAGGGCCUGCUUGUCCCUGAACACUGGCUUGUCAGCCUUAACACUCAGCUGCACGUUGUAAAAUGCCCCGCACCUCUGGCAGGGAAGGCAAGACAGACGUUCAUGCAAGACAAAGAAAGAAUAAAGCCUGCAAGAUGUAUGAAAAUUCUUUAAUUUAUGUAGUAACAGUGGUAUCCCAACAAGUAUACUGCAUCCAGCUGAAGAGGACAGAAGAAUGGGAGCAGCGCAAUCUGAAGAAAAGCUGAGGGAGACACAAAAACUGUUUCCAAGAAUCUGAAAGACCGAUAUAAAAUCAAACAUAAAACCUAUUCCCUCCACCCCAAUGUCUAGUUCUGAAUCAUAGCAUGAAGUAGAAUCGCAUAAUGGCUUGGAAGGGACCUUAAAGAUCAUCCAGUUUCAACCUCUUUGUAAGAGCGGUGCUCCAGACCACUGAUAUUUCUCAAGGCCCUCCUCUGGACACACUCCAGCAGUUCCACAUCUCUUGUGCUGGAGACCUCAGCCCUUGAUACUCCAGAUGGAGCCUUGAGAGGGCAGAACAGAGGGGGGCAAUCACCUCCCUAGCCCUGCUGGCCACCCCUCCUUUGUUGCAGUCUGAGGUACAUUUGACCUUCUGGGCUGCAAGCACAUGCUGCUGGCUCAUGUCCAGCUUUACAUCCACCAGGACCCCUAGGUCCCUCUCCACAGUACAGUUCUCAACAAAUUCUUCUCCAGUCUGUACUCAUUUUGGGGAUUGCCCUGAUUCAGGUGCAGUCCCUUGCAUUUGGGGACACCAUUAAGUUCAGGUGGGUCCACUUCUCAGGUCUCUGGGUAUUUUGUAUUUCCCAAAAUGUGCUCCAAAUCUGAAGUUGAUUGCAGAUGAAGGCAGCAAGCACAAAUUAGAAUGGAAUGUAGUAUUUGUAGACACUUCAAAGUCCAGAAUGCUUAUAAUCAAACAUCUUUCAUUGAUAAACAUGAAUAGAUUAUCAUGUUGAUUCUGUGAGGUAGUUUUUAAAUGUUUGAAUAGUUUAAAAUGUGAAUCAUGCAUAUUGUAUCACUAAAAUCGUUCAGUCCUAUUCAACAUACUAUUGUAGAAAAGUUGUUUCAAGACUCUUUUGACCCUAACAAGUGCAAUAAGUGGGCUUUUGCUUAUGUUUUCUGUCUUAAUUAAAAUUAAGGCCUUCUAAGGACAAAAAGCCAGAAAGAUAUUUAAUUUUAGCAGUAGCUCAUCAGUUAUACUGUAAGAAAAGAUAUGAGGCUGAAUAUCUUCUUCAUAUGUGCUUCAAAAUAAUUCAAAGAAUAAUUUGUAUACUGUAGAGACACUGCAGAAGAGAAAAAUGCUUGGUGUAGAAGAAACUUCUUAGGGAACAGCUUCUCAAUUUCAGAUUUUCAUCCCUGUGAUUUGAGAGAUACCUUCUUUUGUGACAAGAAUUAGACUUCCCUUUUGAUCAUCUUGUUUGAACCAUGCAGUUCUGGAUAUUCAUGUAAAUGGAGUUGUAAUUAAGAGUCAGAGGUGAGAAAGGAGUGGUGUAUGAUGAUUCAGAUAUACCAAGCAUCCCUCAGGAGUACGCACAGCCAUAUGUUACUAUAGAUGACAGCUGGUGAGAGGCAAGUCCCCACUUAUGACACCCAUCUGCAGGUAAAAGCAUGUAGUGUGGUUAAGGACUGUACUUGAAAAUCAAGUAAGGGAUCACACUGUAAACCACAUUCAGAAAUUGCAUAUAUAGUUGAUUUUUUUUUCUUACUUGCAAUAAAACAAGGAAGAAAUAUAUUUCCA